AGUACAAUUUGUUUCAGUUGAGCUACCUCGUAUUAAAUUAAAAAAAGCAAAUAAAAUGCAAAAUAACUUCUCCCCCAGGAGCAUUCCGUAAGUGUGAAUCAGAGCAAGGCAUACAGCGAAUGACUGGUGAAACCUUAUACAAUACGGUAGUUCCCUAUGAUCACAACACCGAAAGUGAUAAAGCUUCGCAAAAGGUUUUACAUGUGGCUAGUGGCAGCAGCGACCAGGACUUUGUCCCAAUAGGUGGUAGCUGUGAAAGCCGGGAAACCAAAAUUGUCUGGUUAGAUGCGCCAACAAAGUUCCUCAUCUCUAAAGUAAGAGACAUCAUCAACUCGAACUCGUCGAAAUAUUCAAAGAAAGAAGAUCCAGUUACCCAGAGUUUGUCUUAUGCAGCGGAACUGUGAAUGAGAUCAACGAUUUAGAAGAUGGUAUAACCUUAACACCAGAAAACAUUUCUUCUAAAUCCACAAUUCCACAAAAAAAAAAAAAAAAAAAAAC